UUAGGGCUCCGAUUUUCAAAUAUGAACGUCGGAGACGCAGAGGAGGUAGUGAGUGUGCUGGAUUCUUGCCUCGCUAGUAUCAAAUGGAGGAUGAGAGCUUCAGCCAAGCGUCGUCUCCAAAUAGGUCAUAUUUUUCUUCAAUCCCCCACUCCUGCCAUUUUUCCGUCGGAAUUCUGACGCUGAAUAUGAAUGAAGAUUGGUUCUUUUGUCAUUCCGAUGAUUUUUUUUCUGGAUUCAAUUGUCCUCUUUAAUGAUUGAUAUGGUUGUAGUUUGUUUAAUUUGUCGUGUGAUUUUUAGGAUCUUCAUUUUCCUCUUUUGGUUUAAUGAUUUUUCAUAUGAUGUUUUAUAAGUUGUAAUUUGUAAGAUCUUCAGUUUGUUUUGGUUUAAUGAUUUUUCAUAUAAUGUUUUAUAAGUUGACUUCUGGACAAACUUGAGAUGAAACAAUAGCAUUCAGUGUAUCGAAAAACAAAGGUCACAAAUUGAGAACCAUAGUGCGCAUAUUAACCAAUCGAUGAUUGAUCGUCGAAGAUGAUUGGAGACUGAGAUCAAUGAAUUGAAUGAUCUGUAUUUCAAGUAAUGAUAAUGUUGAUUUACAUUGUAUAUUUAUAAUGUAUAUACUUUGUUAUCUAACUAAUAACAACUAGUAGUAGGUUAUUAUCUAAACGGAUUCUGUCUAAUUCGUAACAGUGGACUCUAGAAUUCCCCGUAAACCUUAGAGCUCAUGAGAACAGUAAAGUGAAUCCUCUUGUGUGAAGGUAACAUAUUGUAAAGUCAUAUCUUCUAAAUUUAAGAUUAUAUAAUCAUUGUAUUGAAGCUAUUUAAUCACUCAACUAAGUUGUUGCGAAC
rnacentral:lncRNA from 1 species